rnacentral:rRNA from 1 species
GGACCAAGGAGUCUAGCAUGUGCGCGAGUCAUUGGGACUCUAACUAAACCUAAAGGCGCAAUGAAAGUGAAGGUCCGCCGUGCGCGGACCGAGGGAGGAUGGACGGUCUCGAGAGACCGCCCCGCACUCCCGGGGCGUCUCGUUCUCACUUACGAGAAGAGGCGCACCCAGAGCGUACACGCUGGGACCCGAAAGAUGGUGAACUAUGCCUGGUCAGGACGAAGUCAGGGGAAACCCUGAUGGAGGUCCGUAGCGAUUCUGACGUGCAAAUCGAUCGUCGGAACUGGGUAUAGGGGCGAAAGACUAAUCGAACCAUCUAGUAGCUGGUUCCCUCCGAAGUUUCCCUCAGGAUAGCUGGCGCUCGCUUCUCGCGAGUCUCAUUCGGUAAAGCGAAUGAUUAGAGGCAUUGGGGUCGAAACGGCCUCAACCUAUUCUCAAACUUUAAAUGGGUGAGAUCUCCGGCUUGCUUGAACUGUGAAGCCGCGAGAUAUCGGAUCAGAGUGCCAAGUGGGCCACUUUUGGUAAGCAGAACUGGCGCUGUGGGAUGAACCAAACGCCGAGUUAAAGCGCCUAAAUCGACGCUUAUGGGAUACCAUGAAAGGCGUUGGUAACUUAAGACAGCAGGACGGUGGCCAUGGAAGUCGGA